UCUACUGUUGUCUAGAGUUUUCAGUGUGAUUACACACUCAGGCAAGUGUGAGAGUAACUAACAGUCAUUAGAUUUUCAUUAAUUAAUUGUUUUUUAGAGCUUGAACAGAAAGACAGCUUCCUUUUCUUACCACAUUGUCCAACGAGGAAAUGUUCAGUUCAUUUUAACCUGAAUGCUGUUAUGAGAUUUGUUAAGCCACAAUAAAGGCUUAUAAGUGAUUUUUUGACCUUGCUAUAUUGAAAAUCUGUUCUCUUAUAACAUAGGAGGCCACAGUAAUUCUCUACAGUGUGCUGCAGAGCAACGAAAAGCAAGUGAUUUCAUUGGCUUUUUACUGAGUCAGCAGUGCUGUGACUGAGGAACCAUCAAGACUGAAAGAGCAGAGGGACAAGCAAUGGCUGCUCUGAAGGUGUCGGGAACACGGCUGAGUGUAACCCUGCUUCCCGUGCCGAAGUCCUUUAAUGACGUGUUUAUCCUUCAGCAGUAUUGCGUUCAUAUUGCCUACUGUCUAAAUUGCUUUCUAAGUCUUGUGGGAACAUAGAACAGGGAGAGGUUUGGAGUGUAAGCAGCAGAAAGAUAAAAAAUGGCAGGGAUCUGUUCCCAUAUCAAUGAACAAGUGUGCACUCCUUAACUAAUAAGGAGACAUCCUGAGUGUGAUCAACUCGGGUCCCUUAAAUCAUGUCUGAGUGUCAUGUAGCUGAAAGGGGACUGGGAUGUAGAUUUCAAUGUGAGGAACUGUAUUCCUAGCUAAAAAUUAGUGUUAUCAUCACAAUAUGGAAAUGUGAACAUGAGGGACAAUUAGGAACCUCUGUCACUAUUUUUGAAAUAGUUUGCUCUAGGAGAUUUUCUCAUUGAUGUUAACAAUAUUUACCAGUAUCGGCAAUUACCAAUACGUUUUUUUCUUUUUUAAACAGUUGACUAAAUGUUUCUUAAGAACUCAAUUUAUUUUCUGGAUUGGCACAAAGAAUUUUUUUGUAAUAUUAUUUUGAAACUCAAGAAAACUAAGACAUCUUUCUUAGUUGGUGUAAGGACAGGACAGAGGUCUCUGUGUUGAUAUUUCUUAGAGUUUCUUAGAUGUUUCUUACCACAGUUUUCCCAGGCAUUUCAAUCAGUGAGAGAGAUCUUGGCAGGUGAUUUUGCAUAUUCCCAUACAACACCAUCCUUUAGAACAUUGAGCUGGGGUGGUCAAAGUUAGUGUAAACUAUGUGAGAUUUUUUUUUCAAGGGCUAGUAUGGAAGGUGUCCCUUGGUUCUAUUAUGUCUACUUUUUUCCAUUAAUAUGGGUCUUUUUUUUUUUUCGAGACAGGGUUUCUCUGUGGCUUUGGAGGCUGUCCUGGAACUCACUUUGUAGACCAGGCUAAUAUGGGUCUUAUUAUAUCUGAAGGCUCUCUUGCUGAACCUAGAGCUCCCUGCAUUGCCUAAUCCACCUAUCCAGAAUGCUUGAAGGAACCCAUGUCUCUGACCCGUAAACACUGGGAUUAAAAGCAGACUGCCAAGUCUUCCCAGCUUCCACACUGGCUAUUAAGGUAUUGUUUGUUGAAGACAAGAAAUUGAAAUGCUUCCUUGGACAAAACUAUUGUGCCAGCCGGUCUUAUGUCAACUUGACACAAGCUAGAGUUAUCUGAAAGGAGGGAACCUCAGCUGAAAAAAAAACCCUAUAAGAUCUGGU